GCCCGGUUAGCUCAGCUGGUUAGAGCGUCGUACUAAUAUUGCCAUCCCGCUAUAUUGAGUAAUGCGAAGGUCAACAGUUCAAUCCUGUUACUGGGCA